CCCUUAGAUGUCCUGGGCCGCACGCGCGCUACACUGAUGCAUUCAACGAGUGACCUUAGCCGAGAGGCCUGGGCAAUCUUUUGAACGUGCAUCGUGAUAGGGAUAGAUUAUUGCAAUUAUUAAUCUUGAACGAGGAAUUCCUAGUAAACGCAAAUCAUCAAUUUGCAUUGAUUACGUCCCUGCCCUUUGUACACACCGCCCGUCGCACCUACCGAUUGAAUGGUCCGGUGAAGCCUCGGGAUUGUGGCCAGUUCACUUUAUUGGGAGUUGGCUGUGAGAACUUGUCUAAACCUUAUCAUUUAGAGGAAGGUGAAGUCGUAACA
rnacentral:rRNA from 1 species